CAGUUAGCCUCUGCGGCGCGGAGAGAGGGGCAGGACCUCCUUCCCCACGAAGGCGGCAGCAGGGCGCGGGCGGCACUCGCGGGAGUAGUUUGGGGAAGAGGUGAAGAAGGUGCUGGAAAUGCGCUGUGACUCUGCCCCGCUGGAGGGACGGGGAGGAGCCAGCGUGACGGGCCUGGAAUCAGCUGUGUCUGGCUGUUGGGAGAGUCUUUCAGAAAACACAGAAAACCUGAAUUCUGCUGGUGAACUACUGAACCUCUUCUAAGACUGGAUGCAUUAAGAAUAAUUAACAAGGAAGACAACAAAUUUGUGAGUGGAUAGAUGCAAGCAGACUGAGAAGAGUAGUAAGACAGCCAUCCCUCCACUGACCAAAUAAAGUGACAUUUAAAAGCAACUCUUCCCACAUCACUCCCACUGCAUUCAGCCAUUGCCCUGCCUGUUCAGGGGGACUUGCAAGAGACUAAAUUUGCUACUUCUGAUUUGUCCUUCCAUGGUGUAGGACAAGCAGGAGAAGAAAAAAAAUGUGGUGCUUUUGUUAAUCCUGUUUGCUUCUGCUGCUGCCUUGCAUCCCUCCAACUCUUUCUUCAGAAGCUAAGGUUAUGCAAGUAGCAAGUAAAACCAACUCUUCAGGUUGCUGAAACAACUGAUUAUUUCUGUCUUAUCCCAAAUAAAACAGCUGGAGUACACGGUCUGCCUAGAAGAAAAAUAGUCUUUUUCUUGCAUGAGAGAGAGGAGCUGAGGAAGCACAAGAGAAGCUCGAUAAUUUGCAUUAAUUAUUUGAUGGGAAGAAGAGGGAUAUUCUGAAGGCAUUCUGUAAAAUAACCAUGGUCAACAAGAAUUUUGACAGAUUACCACAGGCACUAAGGAUUGGACAUAAGCUUGCCUAUGAGGAGGGAAGCUGAAAUAACCACUACAAACACAACCUAAGCCAUGGAAGUAGAGCUGGACGUCCUGGCCCGAAUACCUCUGAAGAAUAAGCACAUCUGCCCAGCCGUGCCCUACUUUGCUGCUGCUCCUCCUCCUGCUCACAUGUAAGCCUGGAUGUCUCUUUGGAAGAUGCAGCUGAAAAUGGUUGGCUGUCCUAACUGAUGUGUUCUCCUCCAGCACUGACCUCAGCAUGUCUUUCAGCUUCUCUCUGCAUUCCUGAAAAACCGACUUCCCUUCUACUAUCAAAAUGGCUCUAUGUGGUUUGAGGUUACCAAGAUGAUGACUCCUCAUGGCCAGACAGCCAAAAAGGGAAUAAAAAUACACCUUUCAGGAAUGAGGAAACUGAGGAAGAGGAGCGAAACACCUUUGCAUGGCUCACAGAGAUUUGGUCACAGCAGAAGUUGUUGGAUUCAGGAGGCUACUCCACCCCCAUCUGCCACCCCCAUCACAAGUCCACACCUUCCCCUUUUGGUGUUAGUGCAAUACAAAUGCUUCCUUCUCUUAUGUGCUUGCCAAGACCUGGGGCAGAAGCCCAUCAUAUUCUCAGGUAUGCCAGUGGAUGUGGUCAUUCCACAAAGUAAUUCAUAAUAUGUACAAAAGCUUCUUCUAAGAGUGUUUGUAAGAUAUAUGGGGUUAGUAAAGGCCUAAUAAAGACUAAGCCACACUAAUAAAAUGCAAAGGUUGUCAUUUAGAAUGGAAAAUCCUAUGAUUUAAAGGCAGUGGCCAAAUAUUGGAUCAUUUUAUAUAUUGUUAAUGAAUCAGAACAAGCAAGGCACAGAACAUCUGGUGUAAAAGUUAAAGCUCUUAUCAAAGUCCACCAGACAGGGACUCCAGGAUUUCUGUGUUGGGUAAACCCCAACACCUGUGUGAGAAUCUCCUCCACUGUACUGGUGGCAUCACAUACAUUUUGCCUGUGCUGAUUUGGCACAGGGGUGACUUUUGUGGAAAAGGUCCUGUCACCUGUUACUGUCACCCUACUUUCAGAUCCAUUUGAUCAGGUGUUUGUAGUCUAGUGAGGUGCAAGAGGCUCUGCAAACAGGAUAUGUAAAACUUCACAAGCACAUCACAAGUGUUUCCUGCCUGGCACACACAAAACAUGGCUAUGACUUGGUGAGCUACACACCACCUCUUGUGAGGAAUCCAAGGAGCCUUUGUCGCCCUUGGGUAACAUGUAGGGGAGCGUACCACUUCUAGAGUGAACCCUUGAUGUUAAAACCCAAUGUCUUUUCCACCAGCUCCAUCAAUACCAAGGACACCCAAUAACCUGGCAACCAGUUCCCACUUUCUUUCCAAUAGGAUCUUAUUCACAGAAUCACUAGUUUGGAAGAGAAAUUCAAGAUCAUCGAGUCCAACCCGUCCCUGAACACUACAACUAAACCAUGGCAUCAAGUGCCAUAUCCAAUCUUUUUUUAAAUACAUCCAGGGAUGGUGACUCCACCACCUCCCCAGGCAGGCCAUUCCAGUACUUUAUCACUCUUUCUAUAAAGAACAUUUUCCUAAUAUCCAACCUGUAUUUCCCUUGGUGCAGCUUGAGACUGUGUCCUCUGGUUCUGUCAGUUGUUCCCUGGAGAAAGAGACCAACCCCCCCUGACUGCAGCCACCUUUCAGGGAGUUGUAGAGAGUGAUAAGGGCACCUCUGAGUCUCCUUUUCUCCAGGCUAAACACCCCCAGCUCCCUCAGCCGUUCCUCACAGGGUUUGUGUUCCCAGCCCC